rnacentral:tRNA from 1 species
GGGGCUAUGGGGUAGUCUGGUAGCCUUCGAGGUUUGGGACCUCGCGACCCCGGUUCAAAUCCGGGUAGCCCCA